rnacentral:lncRNA from 1 species
UUUAUUCAUGUUUCUUCUGCUUGGGGUUCAUUGAGACUUUUGGGUCUGUGGGUUUAUAGUUUUUUAUUUAUUUGGAAAAAUUUUAGACAUUAUUUCUUUAAAAAUCCUGCCCCACUUCUCCUUUGGAGACUUCAACUACAUGUCACACAUCUCAUUGAUGCUCUGAUUGUUGAUUUUUUCUUUCUUUCUCAUUUUGUUUUAAGUCAUUUUUUUCCUCUGUUUUACUUCAGAUAGUGUCUCUUGCUAUGUUUUCAAAUUUGCUGAUCUUUCCUUUUGCAAUGCAUAAUCUUUUGAUCGAUUUUUCUCCUUGUAUGGUUCAUGUUUUCUUGCUUAUUUGCACACCUGGUACUUUUUGGUAGGAUGCCAGACAUGGUGGAUUUUACCUUUCCGGGUGCUGGGUAUUUUUGCAUUCCUGUAAAUAUUCCUGAUCUUUCCUCCGGGAUGCUGUUGAGUUACCUGGAGACAGUUUGAUCCUUUCAGGUCUUGAUUUCAAGAUUGUGAGGGAGGACCAGAGCAGUGUUUAGUCUAGCGCUAAUUAUCCCCACUUCUGAAUGUUUUACCCAGAGCUGGAUAAAUUAUGAUGUUUUCCUGUCUGGAGGUGAGAACAGGCACUACUGCCAGCCUUGUGUGAGAGGUGGCCACUGCUCCCCCUGAGUCUUUUGGGGAGGUCUUUCCUGGGCUUGAGUAAUCUCCUCACACACAUGCAUGCUCACUGCUCUGUUGAAUAUAUGAAAGGAAACCUCUACAGAUCUCUGGAGUUCUCUCUCUGGGCAGCUGCCUUCUCUACUGUGCUGCCCAAUAAACUCCAGGCACCUUGAUGUCUCUAGAUUUUUACCUUUGGCUCCUUAACUUGGGGAUCUCCUAUGCUCUCCAUCCCCGUGCUGUGGCCUGGAAUCUCUUGCAAGGCAGGAAUCUGGAAUAAUCCUAGGCCUUAUCUGAUUUUGUUUCCCUGUCUCUCAGGGCUCACUGUCUUUUGUUGCUGAUGUCCAAUGUGUUGAAAACCAUUGUUUUGUAUAUUUUUUCUAUUGUGUUUUUUGUGGUUUCAAGCGGUUGUGUACCUCCUAUUCCUGAUACUUCAUCUUGGCUGAGAGUGGAUGUUGACGCUCCUAUUAUUUUUUUAGAAAAAGUUUUUCGUUCUGUCUUCCCAGAGGUUUAUCAAUUUUAUAAGUCCUUUCCAAUGACACACAUUUGUCUUUCUCAAGUCUCUUUAUGGUAUAGUUUUUUAUCCAUAAAUGUGUCAUUUGUCCACAGAUCUUCCUCUGUUUAUGAUGGGAUUACAUCCUGAUAAACCCACCAUGAAUUGAAAAUGCAUUUAAUACACCUAACCUACCAAACAUCAUAGGUUAGCCCAGCCUAUCUUAAACGCGCCCAGAACACUUAGAUUAUCCUCCAGUUGGGUAAGAUCUUCUCACACAAAGCCUAUUUUAUAAUGAAGUGUUGACUAUCUCAUGUCAUUUAUUGAGUCUGGUACUGAAGGGAACAACAGUGGCUGUGAGUGUACCGGUUGUUCACCCUCCUGAUCACGUGGCUGACUGGGAGCUGCGGCUCACUCCACUGCCCAGCAUCACGAGCGAGUGUGGGACAGCAUAUUGCGAGCCUGGGAAAUUAGCAAAAUUCAAGAAAGCAUCAACUGGAGAGACUUCCACCCAUGUUGACUCCUGGGCAGAACGUUCACUCAGCAGACGGUAUAGUCCAGCUCAAGACACCCUGGUGGCUCUUGUCUGGUACGCAGCAUACAGAGGCUCUUCUGCAGGCCGCAGGGAAGUUCCUCUAGAACAAUAAAGCACAGUACGAUACUGCUGAACAAGCGUUAUCACCCCUGGAGAAGUCAAGAAACAUGAGAGCUCCACAUAUCAAUUGCUCUAAGCUGCAAAGGUCCUACCAUGGGCCCUGUACUCAUUGGGAAGGAACAGUGGGGUGGCAAGGUAUUUAUGUCAACUGGGUCACGGUCAGUCACAGGAAAACAGAAUCCAGGGCUGGACCCAGCUUUGACUCGAGAUUGGGAGCUGGUACAUUUACACCAAAAACACAGUGAACUCUACAAUCUACCGUGUCCUGUGCCAGAGGAAGAACACAGCCAACCAUUGCUCCAGGAAUCUGGAAGAUGGAGAAUUGGACCAUCAGAGGCCAGGGUGAUCAAGAAAGUCUUUGUGAUCUUUUGUCCACACCAGGCAGUCACUUCCAACCAGGAGGUCUCUAAAAGCAUGGAGACUCUUCAGAGGUCGAUGUUUUUGGCCAAGAC